rnacentral:rRNA from 1 species
UGGGGAAUUUUGGACAAUGGGCGAAAGCCUGAUCCAGCAAUGCCGCGUGUGUGAAGAAGGCCUUCGGGUUGUAAAGCACUUUUGUCCGGAAAGAAAUCCUUGGCUCUAAUACAGUCGGGGGAUGACGGUACCGGAAGAAUAAGCACCGGCUAACUACGUGCCAGCAGCCGCGGUAAUACGUAGGGUGCAAGCGUUAAUCGGAAUUACUGGGCGUAAAGCGUGCGCAGGCGGUUUGCUAAGGCCGAUGUGAAAUCCCCGGGCUCAACCUGGGAACUGCAUUGGUGACUGGCAGGCUAGAGUAUGGCAGAGGGGGGUAGAAUUCCACGUGUAGCAGUGAAAUGCGUAGAGAUGUGGAGGAAUACCGAUGGCGAAGGCAGCCCCCUGGGCCAAUACUGACGCUCAUGCACGAAAGCGUGGGGAGCAAACAGGAUUAGAUACCCUGGUAGUCCACGCCCUAAACGAUGUCAACUAGUUGUUGGGGAUUCAUUUCCUUAGUAACGUAGCUAACGCGUGAAGUUGACCGCCUGGGGAGUACGGUCGCAAGAUUAAAACUCAAAGGAAUUGAC